AGCGGUGGUGAAGGCUUGCCUUCACCAGCCGGCGACCGGCGCACGGGUGAGUAACACGUAUGCAACCUGCCUGCCACAGCCGGAUAAUCGGGAGAAAUCCCGUCUAAUACGGCAUAAUGCAUCGACGGGACAUCCUGUUGGUGCCAAAGGUUAAUUCCGGUGGCGGAUGGGCAUGCGUCGCAUUAGUUAGUUGGCGGUGUAACGGACCACCAAGACGACGAUGCGUAGGGGUUCUGAGAGGAAGGUCCCCCACACUGGUACUGAGACACGGACCAGACUCCUACGGGAGGCAGCAGUGAGGAAUAUUGGUCAAUGGGCGGGAGCCUGAACCAGCCAAGUCGCGUGAGGGAUGACGGCCCUAUGGGUUGUAAACCUCUUUUGCCGGGGAGCAAAGUGCCGCACGUGUGCGGUUUGGAGAGUACCCGGAGAAAAAGCAUCGGCUAACUCCGUGCCAGCAGCCGCGGUAAUACGGAGGAUGCGAGCGUUAUCCGGAUUUAUUGGGUUUAAAGGGUGCGUAGGCGGACGCUUAAGUCAGCGGUAAAAUUGCGGGGCUCAACCUCGUCGAGCCGUUGAAACUGGGUGCCUUGAGUGGGCGAGAAGUACGCGGAAUGCGUGGUGUAGCGGUGAAAUGCAUAGAUAUCACGCAGAACUCCGAUUGCGAAGGCAGCGUACCGGCGCCCAACUGACGCUGAAGCACGAAGGCGUGGGUAUCGAACAGGAUUAGAUACCCUGGUAGUCCACGCAGUAAACGAUGAAUGCUAGUUGUCCGGGGCGAUUGAGUUCUGGGUGACACAGCGAAAGCGUUAAGCAUUCCACCUGGGGAGUACGCCGGCAACGGUGAAA
rnacentral:rRNA from 1 species